rnacentral:rRNA from 1 species
GUGGGGAAUCUUGCGCAAUGGGCGAAAGCCUGACGCAGCCAUGCCGCGUGAAUGAUGAAGGUCUUAGGAUUGUAAAAUUCUUUCACCGGGGACGAUAAUGACGGUACCCGGAGAAGAAGCUCCGGCUAACUUCGUGCCAGCAGCCGCGGUAAUACGAAGGGGGCUAGCGUUGCUCGGAAUUACUGGGCGUAAAGGGCGCGUAGGCGGACAGCUUAGUCAGAGGUGAAAGCCCAGGGCUCAACCUUGGAAUUGCCUUUGAUACUGGCUGUCUUGAGUUUGGGAGAGGUGAGUGGAACUCCGAGUGUAGAGGUGAAAUUCGUAGAUAUUCGGAAGAACACCAGUGGCGAAGGCGACUCACUGGUCCGGUACUGACGCUGAGGUGCGAAAGCGUGGGGAGCAAACAGGAUUAGAAACCCGGGUAGUCC